rnacentral:rRNA from 1 species
AUGUUUUUAACCAUCCUAACAACAUGUUGUGCAUUCAUUGUCAGCCUGCAAGUUUGCUACACUUCCCAAGGAAUCACUGUAUUUUUGGUGGAUCAACCUCAUCAAGUUUGUCUCAUGGCAGCCAUAUUGGGUUCUCUUGUUGGGUCAUGUGCCAAAAAAUUGCAAGAAGUUAUUACAGAAGAGGCUGCUCUGAUUCUAGGGGUAAAAGAAGACCUCAGAGAACUGCAGGGAAUAAGAUCCAAAUACAAUGCUUCCUUAAUGAUGCUGAGGCAAGGAGGACAGAAGAAACAGCAGUUAACAAUUGACUUGGGGAGCUAA